AUUAAAAUAGCUUAAAUAUAAAGCUUAGUAUUGAAGAUACUAAUAUAAGAAUUAUUCUUUUUUAAUA
rnacentral:tRNA from 1 species